rnacentral:tRNA from 1 species
GGAGAGGUGGCAGAGUGGCUUAAUGCGGCGGUCUCGAAAACCGUUGGGCCGUGUAUGCGGUCCCGGGGGUUCGAAUCCCCCCCUCUCCG